rnacentral:rRNA from 1 species
UCUACGGGCGGCAGCAGUGAGGAAUAUUGGUCAAUGGGCGUAAGCCUGAACCAGCCAAGUCGCGUGAGGGAUGAAGGUUCUAUGGAUCGUAAACCUCUUUUAUAAGGGAAUAAAGUGCGGGACGUGUCCCGUUUUGUAUGUACCUUAUGAAUAAGGAUCGGCUAACUCCGUGCCAGCAGCCGCGGUAAUACGGAGGAUCCGAGCGGUAUCCGGAUUAAUUGGGUUUAAAGGGUGCGUAGGCGGACUGUUAAGUCAGCGGUAAAAGCCCGGGGCUAAACCCCGGCGAGCCGUUGAAACUGGCUGUCUUGAGAUGUCGAGAGGUAUGCGGAAUGCGCAGUGUAGCGGUGAAAUGCUUAGAUAUUGCGCAGAACUCCGAUUGCGAAGGCAGCUUACUAAACUGCCACUGACAUUGAUGCUCGAAAGUGUGGGUAUCAAACAGGAUUAGAUACCCCAGUAGUC